AAGGAAUUGACGGGGACCCGCACAAGCGGUGGAGCAUGUGGUUUAAUUCGAAGCAACGCGAAGAACCUUACCUGGUCUUGACAUCCCUCUGACCGGGAUUUAACCGUCCCUUUCCUUCGGGACAGAGGAGACAGGUGGUGCAUGGUUGUCGUCAGCUCGUGUCGUGAGAUGUUGGGUUAAGUCCCGCAACGAGCGCAACCCUUACCUUCAGUAGCCAGCGGUUCGGCCGGGCACUCUGGAGGGACUGCCAGGGACAACCUGGAGGAAGGUGGGGAUGACGUCAAAUCAUCAUGCCCCUUAUGAUCUGGGCUACACACGUGCUACAAUGGCGUAAACAAAGGGAAGCGAGACAGUGAUGGCAAGCAAAUCUCAGAAAUAACGUCUCAGUUCGGAUUGCAGUCUGCAACUCGACUGCAUGAAGCUGGAAUCGCUAGUAAUC
rnacentral:rRNA from 1 species